UUGUAAAAUUCUUUCACCGGGGACGAUAAUGACGGUACCCGGAGAAGAAGCCCCGGCUAACUUCGUGCCAGCAGCCGCGGUAAUACGAAGGGGGCUAGCGUUGCUCGGAAUUACUGGGCGUAAAGGGAGCGUAGGCGGACAUUUAAGUCAGGGGUGAAAUCCCAGAGCUCAACUCUGGAACUGCCUUUGAUACUGGAUGUCUUGAGUGUGAGAGAGGUAUGUGGAACUCCGAGUGUAGAGGUGAAAUUCGUAGAUAUUCGGAAGAACACCAGUGGCGAAGGCGACAUACUGGCUCAUUACUGACGCUGAGGCUCGAAAGCGUGGGGAGCAAACAGGAUUAGAUACCCUGGUAGUCCACGCCGUAAACGAUGAUUGCUAGUUGUCGGGAUGUUUACAUCUCGGUGACGCAGCUAACGCAUUAAGCAAUCCG
rnacentral:rRNA from 1 species